UUGGAGGGCAAGUCUGGUGCCAGCAGCCGCGGUAAUUCCAGCUCCAAUAGCGUAUAUUAAAGUUGCUGCAGUUAAAAAGCUCGUAGUUGAAUUUCGGGACCAUCAUGUCGGUCGUGCCUCGGUACGUACUGGCAUCGUCGGUUUCUCCCUUCUGACGAACCAUGAUGUCAUUUAUUUGGUGUCGUGGGGAAUCAGGACUGUUACUUUGAAAAAAUUAGAGUGUUUAAAGCAGGCUCACGCUUGAAUACAUUAGCAUGGAAUAAUGAAAUAGGACGUUUGAUUCUAUUUUGUUGGUUUCUAGGAUCGACGUAAUGAUUAAUAGGGAUAGUUGGGGGCAUUAGUACUCAAUUGUCAGAGGUGAAACUCUUGGAUUUAUUGAAGACUAACUACUGCGAAAGCAUUUGCCAAGGAUGUUUUCAUUAAUCAAGAACGAAAGUUAGGGGAUCGAAGACGAUCAGAUACCGUCGUAGUCUUAACCAUAAACUAUGCCGACUAGGGAUCGGAUGAUGUUAAUUUUUUAAUGACUCAUUCGGCGCCUUACGGGAAAC
rnacentral:rRNA from 1 species